rnacentral:rRNA from 1 species
GACUGAGGAUGCAAGCGUUCUCGGGAAUCACUGGGCGUAAAGCGUCUGUAGGUGGUGAUGCAAGUCACUGGUGCAAAACUCUGGCUCAACCGGAGGAAAGCCAGUGAAACUGCAUGACUAGAGUGUGGGAGAGGUAGAAGGAAUUCCCUGAGUAGCGGUGAAAUGCGUAGAUACAGGGAAGAACACCGGAGGCGAAAGCGUUCUACUGGAACACAACUGACACUGAGAGACGAAAGCUAGGGGAGCGAAUGGG